ensembl:lncRNA
CCCACUUUCCGGCCACAAGGAUCAAGGCCCAAAGGGAGGCAGCAGCACUGCCAAGAACCAGGCAGCAAGGAGCUCACGCUCAGGCUUAAUGCAAACACCUGGCCAGGACGGAAGUUUGAUCCUGCAAGAGCCAAGCAAUGCAGCAGCUUCAUCUCAUUGGGCAGAAGAUAAGCACUGCACAUGCAGAUCUUCCAGAUGUCCCAGGACUUGUCCCAGGAAUCUUCAUACGCCCUCUGAAAGCCAGUUGUAAUGGAAAGGCUGCUUCAUGUGAUGCAUCGAACACGUUUCAUUUUGUGGCCCUCAAAUUGAGCAAAAAGGGCUGUCAGAGCAAGGCUGCAGGAUUCAGGCUCUGACCUUCACACCCUGCUUUCUCCUGUUCUCGCUGGUACUGUGUGCUGAGGGGAGGCUCCUGCAGCACCUGCCCUGGGAUAAGGCAUCACGGUUUGUUCCUGUCCCUGCCUUCAAGGUCUGUGCCAUUCCACACGGCUGUUUCUCUAGGAGAAAGCGUGUGUUCAGCAGUGUGAACCGUCUCCACAGAGCUGCAGCCUGGCUGAGUAACACAAUCCUUCACCUCUCCCCUUGGAGAACAGAAGGGACAGAAAUGUACUGACUACAACUAGGGGCAUCCCAUCCUGGUUUUGCUGCUGUCACGAGCCCCUCUUGUUCUGUCGGAAGGGUUUUGUGUGCAGAGAGAUGUAGCAGAUAGGCUGUGUUUGCCUGGGCCAUGAAGAGUAACAACCCUUUACAAGCAAAGAUGCGCUCUUUAGCCUGCCAGGCAGUGUGCUUGGGAGCUCCACUGCUUCCUCAGGAUGUCCACAAAACGUCAUCCAACAAGAUGGCACCUACCAGCUGCUCUCACCUGGGUGGGCAAUGUGAGCCACUGUGUGCUCUGCCGGCCCUGUGCACAGUGAGGGGCGCUGGUGGUGUGAAUGGGAGAAACCAUAAAGGCAGUUAGAGUGGGAAGGGAGAGGAAUUGCACCAUCCGUUAUCCAACUUGAGCAAAGUGACGUGAAGAAGGAUAUUAUUUUAGAAAGUUUAUCUCUUUAGUAUCUAUGGUGACAAGAUGCUUAUCGGAGUAAGACAGACUCACAGGCUGUCUGCUCCUUGUUAUCUCAGUGUAGGAUGACAGUAUAAGUAUCACGUCUAGAAAUGUUAUCUAUCCUUUAUUAUUUCACUUGUGAGGGUCUAACAGGAGUGUUAUCAGGGUGUUUACAAUCAAAACACGUGCGGCUCAAGUGAUAAAAAGGAGAACAGACAUCUGAUCUCCAAGGAUAUGAAGACAAUACAGCCUUGAGCAGGAGGAGAUGGAUCUUAUUGGAAAUGGUUUGUCGGGCUGGGAAUGGACAAGCAAGCCCGCGUGAUUGCUCACAUCAUAAGCUUGAGAGAUGGGAUGGGGGAGAAGCACGCGUACGAGCGCACGCGGUCUCACAGAAAAUGAAAAGGCGAUUGUAUCAACAGCACUCUCAGCUGAAAGAGAAAUAUUUUCCAAUAAUUUCGUUACGAUUUGAUGUAUUCUGUGCUCUCCUCUCCCUUAGAGCGGUAAUGUGGCGAGCUGGCAGGACCAACAAGUGCCGUAGAGUUGCUUGGAGUGAGUCAGAAGCUGAGAAAGCUUACCCAGGCUCGGAGGGUGGAGAGCAGACAGCUGGUAAGAUUGCUUAUCAGGGGCUUCCUUUAGAUUAGCACAACGCUGGCCCAAGCUUCUGCAAGGUAAGGAAUCAAUUUCGGGGUUAGUGGUGACUAUAAACCUUAUCCUAGAUCUCCUUAGGGCCAGGGAGGCUAAAUUCCUCACGGACGGAGGUGUACAAAGAUCUCCCAGACAUCAGAUCUCAUUCGUUUACAGCGUGAGCAAGCCAGGUGCUCAGUGGUGUCAAAUGCUGAUUUUCUUACUUGGCAUGAAUGAUCCUCAGCUGUUAAAGAUAGGGCUGGAUUGUGCAAUGCUCUGUUCAAACCCAGGUCUUACUCCUGGAGGUGGCUGUGUUCUUGGAUAGAUAGACUUCAUUGGAUGUUUUCUUCUUCUGUUGCAGUUAGACUCCAUUCUCCUAAGGUACAACAGUUCCCUUAAGCCAAGCAGAGUGCUUUUAUCCCACAAGAUAACAUGGAGUGAGGAGUGUGUCUUCUGGGGGUCAUAGAUGGGGGGCCAGGCAUGGUGAGGUGCAAUGGGUGGGCACAUUGUGGCCUCCUGGUGACAAACCCACCUCUGAGCAUCUCUUCCUGACUGUAUAGCUGGCUUCCAACUGGAGGUAGGCAGCUUCUUUGGGUAGGGGGUAGGGAAGGAACACAAGCAUCUCCCCCUCAGCACAGUUCUGCAUUAGCCUGCCUGCUCAGCUCCAUAUUCAUCUUGAGCUGGGUAUCACACAAAGAGAACUGCUUUCAACCUGUCUCAAUGACUCUCCCAUCACUCUCUAAUGGCUGUCAACUGCAGGUAACCCUUCUUCACCUGUGGAAACUGGCAGCAACACCUCGGGCUCGUUUAUGAGAAAUUAUCUCUGGUUGUGAUACACGGUGCAUUUUUUUUUUUUCAUUUGAACCCCUAGCUUGGCAGGGCCAGUGGGGCUGUUUUGUAUGGUAAUAUAUGACCCAUCACUCCUCUCCUGCCCUUCGUCUCUCACACCUUUAAUUGCACUUGUGUUUCUGAAGCAUAUGGAAUUCAUUAUUCAGCAAGCAAGGUCCUUUGCAAUAUCAGCCUUAAUUAACUGUUCCCCUCUGCAUUUUCUUGCUCUUAUCCUCUCCAAAUCUACACACCAAGACAGGCUGAUGGCCCCCCACAUGCAUCAGUGCCAGCCAGUGAGCCGUGACCAGAUAAGAAGAAAUGGAAUUCCUUAUCUUUUUUUUUUUUUCCUUCUUCUUUCUUAAAAUACAUGUACACACAAACCUGGAAAAGGUCAAGGUUACUGGGAAGGGAGAAGGCACUUCAAGACAACAAAACCCCCUUCUCUUUCAAGUCUCCAUAGCAACUCGAAGGAGCAUCAUGGGAUGUCAGGAUGAGAGAGGCCUAUUCUUUUCAUGCAACACUCUUUCCACUUCAUUAGACUCUUUAUCAAGUAUCUCUGCUCUGGGCUGAGUAUAUUUUUUUGUGUCAGGGAGCAGUGCAGAUGACUCAAAAGCACGCUGACCUUUUCAGUGGGACCCGGGAGUUCCUUGUGGGAGCUGCAUCCUCUUCCCUUGCCUUCCUCCCCCACAGCCCCUUGCCUCCAGUUCGCAUGACCUCGGUCUGCCUGGCCUUCUCAUCAAAACCCCGUGGCUGGGGAGGGAUGAAGGGCUUCUUUUAAAGGAGAAAGGGGGAAAAAAAAUAAAGAGAGCAGAGUAUGAGAAUGUCCUUCGCUGGCACUGGAGGUGUCAAGACCCAGCUGUCAGAGCCGUGCAUCUAUGGGGAAGAUUAAUGACUCUGCUCAGAGAAAAUCCAAAUAAAAUAGGACAGAAUAAAUGCCAAGUGACUGGGCGGAGGAUGAGGGGAAGAGUGAGGAAGGAGCGAGGCAGUGUGACGGGGCGGAGGUAUUCCUCAGUCUCGGAAGUGCUUUAAUUCCCCGUGGAGGAACAAGUUAGCAUAGGAACGCUCUUUAGGUUUCACCCCAUGGUCUUGAAGAGCCGUGUCUGUCUGUGUGCAUCGGGGUGUGAGCACGCUUAUAAAGCACUGGUUGUACCGAGGCACCGAGGCUGUAUGUUUUUAUCUUUACUUCCUUGGAAAAAUACCCACCGUAGAGAAGCCUUUUGUUUUAAGCUUCUCACCACGUUAGCCCGUUUCAUCCUCUAGAUAUCUUGAAUUGCUUUGCAAAUCAAUGUGCUGCUUGUUCUUGGGAAGCUUCAAUGCCUGUUUUAUGCUGGGCAGUAGCACACAGCACAGCUUGGAGGGAAUAAAGGGGCUGCAACUGUGCUGUGGUUGUGGGAUUGCACUUGAGCUGCAGGCCCUUAGACCUAACCUUCACGAGAUACCAAGGCGCUGUAACUGCCUUUAGUUUUUAAGAUGAUCCUUUGGAUUUUUACUUCUUCCAGGGAGCUGUUCCGUGACAGUUUGCAGCUUAAUUUGAACAGACUUCAUGCUCUGAGAGCCCAGCUGAGCUCCUCACCAUAACAGCACACGGUGUGAAACUCCGUAUGUUGGAAGCCGCGUGCAUUGGAUGAGGAGAGGGACUCGUUAGCGUGGAUGACUGACAAGGCCAAAGUCAUUUAACCAAGUGUUUGUAAAGAGCCUUGAACCUGGACAUGCUCAGACUGUGUGCUCCAAGCUAGAUGAUUUACAUGGGUGAUUUUAGGAGGAAAAACUGUAGAAGAAAAAGCUUUGCACGUACAGUAGGAAUCAGGGUUAUGAAUAUCCCAGUCCAACUGCUUCGAUCCUCGGAGGAGUAAUUCUGAAGUGGGAAAUCCCAUUAACUCAUAAUAGGGCUCUUAAGUAGUUCCCUAUGAUGAAUUUGUGGCACUCUGCAAGUCUCAUAAUUCCCAAUAUACAGAUGAGGAAACUGAGGUUAAGUGACUUACCCAAGGUCACGUAGGAAAUCAAUAACCACUGCAGCCCGCGCCGGCAGCACCUCUCACUGACUGUGAGUGACUCUGAAUCAGGGAAUGAUUUGUGUUGAAAGGGGCCUCAAAGAUCACCCAGUUCCAGCCCCUGCAGUGGGUUGGUGGCCACCCACGACAUCAGGCUGCCCAGGGCUGAAUCCAACCUGGCCUUGGACAGCUCCAGGAAUGGGGCACCCACACUUCUCUGGGCAAACCGAAUGGUGAUAAUCAUCCCCAGUGCUGGCAGAGGAAACUUGGUGUCUGAACCCUGUAUCAUGUCACAGCUCUAAAGAAUGUCCCAGGGUCUCGGGGGAGGCUUGGCCAUGCAGAGCUGAGUGGCUGGGACUCUCCCACCCCGAUCAGAGCAACGCUGCUUUGCUGUUUCCUGGCAGAUGGGUGUCCUCUUGUUCUCAGGAUCCUCAAAUAUGGAUGCUCUGUGGUCUCCUGCUGUCCCAGUUUAUCCCAGUGCCCUCUGCCAUCUGUCACAGCACUGUUGCUUUCCCGUGGCACGGCAGGCAGGAGCCCGAAUCCCACACUCUCCAUCUGUGUCAGGUGCUCUGGCUGUGCUCAGCAGUGUGUUUCUUGUGAUCUGAAGCUUAUGUCUGAAAAAGCAGGCAGAGCAUGUCUGUGGCAGGUGUGCAGUGUUGGGGGUGGGAUCCUCUCUCAUAUGAUGGCAGGAAAUUGCCUCGUGCAGGACCUCUCUGCUGUGGUGAGUGUGAGAGCCUCUGCCAGUACCUGUGCUCCUUCUUUCCUCCUGCUGAUUGAGCUCACCGCUCGUGUUCCAGCUCCUCUGCUCGCUGCUUUCAUCUCAGGUUUGCAGGGGAAUACACUGCUGGCAUAGGGGUGUUCCAGCACUGGGGACUGGUGUGAUCAAUGCAUGCUUCCUUACCACGUGUGGUGGGUCCUGCAGGAAGGGGCUGUGCUUCCCAGGGUCCAACGUGGGACUCCUCACAGUAACACUGACCAUCACCUACGUGCUCUUCCUAUCACUUGUUGCUCUUUCCAGAACUAGCAGCUGGUGUGACCCAGCGAUGAGAGGUGCGAGACGGGGUGCAGACACCCAGCAUCACUCAGGUCUUCUGCAGGAGUUUUUCCUCUGUCCAGCUUCUCAGUUCUUUUUUUAUAGUUUCCCUUCAGCUGAUUCAUAGCUAUUUGAAUUGCUGAUUUCACUCGUACUGUUACUGUGGCCUAGUGCUAAUGAUCUGUCUCUAUUUCCUUCCCAGGUAGUAAAGCACAGCAAUACUCUGGAGCCUGCUGUCUGAAUGAGCAUGUGCUGGGAUUAACCUGCUGCCCAACAGCUUGCUAUAUUUUCAUAGUGCUUCCCAUAGCUGCCAGUCUGACAGGCCUCUGAAAGCUGAGGGAAGUGGUUAGUGAUAAGGUGUGGGCACUGAGAACAGCUACACUUUAAGGCCUCACAAGGACAGCAUGCAUUUCUUGUAUGGCUCCAUUUUCCGAUCAGCAUCUCUACACAUAUUUGUCGCUUGCCAGACCCUCAGUCCUCUUUGACUUAACCUGCUGAGAAGGGAGGAUGCUCAGGAGCAUGCAGGCGGAGCAGGAAGCUCAGGGCUAUCUGCCAUAACCCAACCCAGAGACCACUCUGCUCCGCAGCUGGUGCUCCAGCCACCUGCACUGCCAGCACUGAGCUCCAGCUCCAUAACCCAGUGCCUGCGGGCAGUUUUCUGACCUUGUGUAGGGCGAAGAUCUCAACACUCCGUGCAUAUGUGGGGUGAAUGCUGUGGCAGAGGUGUGGCCAUGUAGACAACCCCCUGUUUUGCAACGCACGGCAGAGCACUGGUGUCUCAGGGACAGUUGUAGCGCAGGGGAUAUUUUGUACUGCAAACUGCAGCUUUAAAAAAAGCACUCAAUGUUGGUUCAAGGUUUCAUUCCUGAAGCCUUAAGGACUGAAUAUAUUCACUGUGUCCUUCUUUAUUUGCAGGUUUAAGGCACGACAGACUUGUUCCGCUGAUUAUUCUGACUGCAGGUAUUAGCUGUUCCUUUGAAUGAGGAAUGAGUUAGGCCCCCACUCUCUACUGCUGCGUGGUUUGAUUUCACCUUCAUUCGUAUUAUGGCAGUUCUGAGAGAGCUUCUUGUUUUAUAGAGCAGCUGUGUUGUCUUAAUGCAGCUGUAAUGUGUGUUUGUCCAGGCAUUGCCUUUAGGGGACAGCAGGACUAGGAAGAUGUUUUAUUAGAUCAUUCACAAGUCCUAAUAAUCUCUGAGUCUCUGUAAUAUCUCUGGAUGUCAGCUGUGCUGCUUUCUCUGUGUGGUAUGGGGUUGUAACCUGAAGAUGGGAAAUUGCUUGUGUAUGAUCCCAUAUCGGUUUCAUCUCAGUUUUAGCUCUCCCCUCCUGGCUGUCAAAGAGGAGUUGGUCCUUGUAUGCAAGAUCUUAAACCACGUGUUGGGAGCUCAUGCAUGGAGCAGAGCAGCGGUAUCAGAGGGGAUCCGAGUUGCUUGGAGCCCUGCUUGUGUGAUUCACCGGUGGCACUGAAGACCUUCCCCUGCAGGCUGGAUCCUGGACAGCGCUCCCAUCCCUGCACCUCCAACCUCAGUGCCCGGGUGGUGGAGCCAGGAGGUUCUGGAACAAGGCAGCAAAACUUGCUCGGUGUAGACAAAGCCGUGUGACAGUCCCACCUAACAGCAACCAUGCUACUGGGAACGCAGACAAAGGUGUCACUGUGAUUAAUGGGGCACUCAUCUGAGCACCGCGUCCAGGAGCACAGGUUGCACCUUGCCCUGGUGGCCCGGCUUUUGCAGGCUUUGUCUGCUGUGAGUCCUGCUCAGAAAUGGCUGGAAGGAAUUCAAGGACAGAAGCAAAAAGCAUGGGGCUUAGCCUCAGACUCCCUCAGGAAGGGAAGGACGUGCAUCCUGCCUGUCCUGUGCAUACGGUGUUCCUCUCCAUGGACUCUUUCCAAGGUGUUGGUCUCCAGAAUGCUCCUGGCUCUGCUCUUCUUGGAAGCAAUGGUGAGACAUCUGUCAGUGUGAGCCCAUAGAGGGAAGCUGAGGUAGGUCACUUUGUAGUCAAUUCAGCUAACUUUUUCUCAAGUCUGAAUUAUCUCAAGGAAAAAUAUAGUUUUGGGUUUUCUGGAUGUGGUCCCAGCCCUAUUUCUGCAAAUGUGGCAUCUCUCAGUUAGGAGAGGGCAGUGCGAGAGUGGGGUGAGGCAGCAGGUCCCUUGCAAGCUGGUAUGCCACCAGAUCAUGCAGAUGGGUCAGGUUUUGUGCCAUGUUCAGGUUAAUGCUUUGCAAACACUAGGUCCAGACAAGAAGCAGUAGCUCCAAUAAUGUUUAAACGAGCUUAAAAUCUGGAGAUGAGAUCUGUAGGCCUUGUGCAAGGAGCAGGACAGUGGAGCACCCAGAAGUGGAUUUAAGACAUGUAGCUGCUUUGUUCUGGGCUUUGUUGAAACAGACUGCCCCGGGAGGUAGUGGAGUCACUGUCCCUGGUGGAGUUCAAGAGCAGUGGAGAUGCGACGCUGAGGGACAUGGUCAGUGGGCAUGAUGGGAUGGGCUGGGGUUGGAUUUGGGGAUCUUAGAGGUCUUUUCCAACUUUAAUGAUUCUGUGAUUCUAUGAUUAGAAGAAGGUGGAGCAGUCACAGGGCUCCCAUGGUUCAGAAUUUGUCCGAGAUCUCUCAGUGUCCCCAUGCUGAAGGGCAGUGCUUGUGCUGGGAUGGUUGGAGCUAACCUGAGAUCCUCCCCAGGUGCUGUGGUGUGGUGCAGGCUGCAUUGGCAGAGGAGGUGCAAUGGGCAAGCAACAAAGUGCAGGAUGGGCCCUGAAAUGCCCUGGGACAUUGGUUUGCCAAACUUCUGUGUCAGUGGUACUGUCAACAAUGUCCUGCCAAGAAGCAUCAGCAGGCAUGCAGCUGAGAUUUCCCUUCCCCCCCCCUCCUUUUCUUUCAUUCUAUUACUCCUGUUAAAUUCUCUUCACUGCACUCACUCUAAUGGUGCCUCAUUUGGUUUAUGUCCUUCAAACUCUUCCCUUUAAACACGUAGUCAUCACUUAGCUAAACUACUGUAUACAAAUAUAGCUCUUUUGAUCUUCCUACGUAAAUCAAUACCUCCUGCCCUUUAAUCUUCCUAGUGGCUUUCUCUGAACUCCCUGCAAUUUACUAUCCAUCUUUGAAAGUAAGUUGUCUUUUGGGCUUGAUUCUCUACAAUUUCAAACCUCCUGAAGUCCCAAUAGCUGCCCACAGCAGGUGCACACGGUGGUUCUCCACCACUCUGUUCAUGCUGAAGUAAUGCAAACACUUGCAUACAAGGCAUUUCAUGUCCCCCUGGGUUGGUGUGGCUCCCCAUGCCAGAAGUGAGUGGUCAUGCAGCACAAGCCCAUAUUUUCAAAGUAGUUCUCACAGGAUGCUAAAAGCCAUGGCGCAAGCCAUUGGGUGCCAUUUGGGGUUGAAGGAGAGUUGUAAUGGUUAGUUAUGGAGAGGACUUUCUGCAGUUAUUGGUGGCUGUAGAGAUGAAUCUCAUCUUCUCCAUAGCAGUAGAGCCUGUAGAUGCAAGCAAGCAAGCCCAAGAUAAAGAUUUGUCCCCUGAGAGUGGGCAAUGUAUGUGUCCCUUCCUUCACAGGACAGCUCACCUUACCUGGCUGCAGGUGGGACCUUUUGAUGGGGCUAGACCAUGGGCUCAGCAGGAAACCAGAUCUGGAAGCCCAUCCAGGGUGCAUGUCAUCUCUGUGCAGGGAAGGGUUGCCUUGUCAGCUGCUUUGCAGUGCCAGGAGCUCUGAGAAAUAACCUUGUGCCUUGCUUUGAUGCAAGUGUCAGACACAAGUCCAGCGCACUCUCUAACCCAUGUGUCCAGUCUGCUGGUUGUAUUAUGUUUAGUAAAUAAGGUUGUCACUGGAGUGGUCUCGAGGGCAAGAAUUAAGGAAUCUCUUAGGGAUUGAAGAGACAAUUGUACAGUUCUCCCCGUCCUUGCCUUGACAGUUACCUCCAGUUUUCCCCUGGGACCAUUCCACUCUUGAACUGGGAAUGCUGUGAUUCAUAGAAUCACAGAAUCACCAAGGUUGGAAAAGACCUCUGAAAUCAUCCAGUCCAACCACUCACCUACCCCCAGUAUUUCCCCACUAAACCAUGUCCCUCAGUACAACGUCUAGACGUUUCUUGAACAUCUCCAGGGAUGGGUCUCAACCACCACCCUGGGCUGCCCAUUUAAAACCAUUGCAGUAAAAUGUCUUUUUUUCCCCCUCAUCUUUCAAAGGGAGGGUUUAUAAUAGCAAUAACCCCUUCUUUUAGCAAUAACCCCUUCUUUUAGCAUUUCAUUAUGGGUCAAAUAAAAGCAUAUCAGAGCACGAGACAGAGAAUCUCACCACUCUGCUUGCCCCCAAAGGAUAAACAUAGUAGUGCUGCUACGGGCCCUAUAGCUUAAUUAGUUGCUAUUCUCUGCAGUUCCAAAAAAGGGUGAAAAAAAUCCUUUGCAAAGCCUAGGCAGGCUGUCUGUGUCAUAUUUCCUGUGUUCUUAGAGGUGUUAAUGAAUUCAUUAAUCACUUAAUGGCAAGGAGGGUCUUUGGGGACCAGCACUGCAAUUUACUGCUCCCAGGAGGCAGACUCUGUCACUGAUCUAAAGUUUCAGCUCCGCUAAUUUGUGCCAGCAGAGCCGCUGAGCUUCUGCCUGCAGCCCGCAAGCAUUGUGGCUACUGGGAGCAUCACAGCAGCACGCAAAGCAUCAGGGUAUGCUCACUUGGGAAGGUUUUGCAACGCGCAACGUUCUGGCUCUGAAAAGUUCAGAGCCCACAUGGAGGAAAGGAGGUGUUCCCCCAGCCUUGCAGUUGUGUUGCCUUAAUUCUUUUCAUUGGGAUAAGCUUGCUGCUAAGCCAGUCCUUGCAAUCAACUGGGGAAUGCAGCAGGAGCCUUGCUGACUUACAGGAAAUGCAAGCUAUGGAAGCGUGGCUGUAUAAUCUGGUCUGGGACUGCAGGCUAUGCAAUGAAAGGAGUCUGUGAAUCUCUUCUAAUUGAAGAGCGUCAGGCUGAUGUAUUUUGACUGAAACUGUCAGUUAAAAUGUGAAUUUGAAUGUUUGCAUUUCUGCUCUGCAGAAAAUGUUGAUUAUUUCAGUCUCUCGCCCUUGUUGCAGGAGAGUCACUUGUGCCAAAGUUCCCUACAAAAUGUCUCUUUUGGCUUCUUUCUCAUCACACGGCAGUUCAAGGAGAGGGGGACGUGAGCAGAGCCCUCCUCUCCGCUAAUUCCAUUCCACCAGCCUGUCAUCACGUUGCAAUUGCUGCUUCUAAAAGGUUUUUCUGCCUUGCUUUUCUGUGGCUGAGCUCCCCUUUCUAACUUCUGUCCGUCUUUCUCCUCGGUCUGUUGCUUUCCCAGGCUGGGAGUCAAAGAGGGCAAAGUACGUCAGAUGUGAGCAGGAGGGAGGGCAGAGUCCAUGGGUCAUGGCUGUCUGUGUGUGUGCACGUGCUCGCCUUCCACCGCUGGUACCCUCCUUGGAGUCAUUCCCACACUCAUGUUCUUUGCUCAACAGUUACUGUAGGGAGGAGAGAGCUGGAAGGCAGGACAGAAGCUACAUGUUGAAUCAAAGGAGAGAAGGCGGGAAUACAAAACCACUUCAUCGUGGAAAACACAAAGGGAGACAAUUUCAGUAAAUGCCAGAUGGUCAAAAUUAACCAGAGACGUGUAGAGCCCUACAUGUCCAACUGUUUGCUUUGGCAGAGAUUCUUCAGCUUUUCGAACAAGAGUCUCUGGGGCGCCCUUUUCUUCUCCUUGGCUUUCCUCCUCUCCUUUGCUCAUCCUUUGGACUCCUCACCCCACCCUUCUCCUCUGGCUGUUUUUCCUGCCUCUCCUCUCUCACUGCUGCCCAUGAGUCAUGUUGCACCUCAAAUGCCAGCUUGUGUUACGGUGAGGGGAGACCACUGCAAAGAAAUGUCCUCAUGCAACAACAGACUUGGAGGGCAUGCAAGGUGGUGGCUGCAGCUGUCAAGGACCACUGCCAGCACAGCCCUGUGGAAAUGCUGGAGCACUUCAACCCUGUGCUUGUUGUUGCUGUGGGUAUUAAUUUCUUCCUCCCCUCCCAAGGGCCUUGACUCAGCUUUGAUUUUUUUUUGUUUCAGCCAGGAAUCCAGAAGGAGUUCUUGCGGUUCAGUAAGCAGAGGAGCAUGCAUAAGUUGCUUACCCUGAUGGAGCAGUGGGAUGUAGUCUUGGUGGGGCAGGGGGAUGCAGCCUUGUUGGGGCAGUGGGACAUGGCCUUGUUGGGGCAGUGGGACAUGGCCUUGUUGGGGCAGUGGGACAUGGCCUUGCAGGGGCAGUGGGAUGUAGUCUUGCUGGGCAGUGGGAUGUAGUCUUGCUGGGCAGUGGGCCAUGGCUGUGUUGGUGCAGAAGGAUGCUGUCUUGUUGGGGCAGAGGGACACGGCGUUCUUGAAUCCAAGCCAACUGCAUGGCAUGUUCCUCCAAACAAUGCAAUCAAGAGGGCCCUUGUAUGGCACAGACGGAGAGCUCCAGCUAACGACGGGCUCUUUUGUGUGCGCGUGUGCUCUCUGCAUUCGAAACAUUUAUUAUUCCAAAUUGCCUUCUGCACAUUUUACAAUAAUUACGACUAGUGUUUGCCUUGUUAUCUCCACAGUUACUAACAAGAAUGCCAUCAUUAUUCCAGUCAUUAGCAAAAUGGAUGUUGUUGUCCAGAGUUGCCGGCUGUGGGCCUGCUUUCAGAAGGAGUCUCAUGCUCUCCAACCUUGCCUACUCCAUCUUUCUUCCAGGGGAAUAUUGUUGUUCUCAGUAGGUUUGAACCUGAGCGGGCGGAGGGGAAGCAGAGAUUUCAUGAAGAAGAAUUGCUUUGAGGGAGUGCUGGUGGGUGUCAGGAUUCACAGCAGUGAGCACUGGGAAUCUGUUAAUGGCAACAUUAGUAGGAACGAGAGUAAAGGCAGCCAUUUGCCCGUGUUCCUUGUGUAUUUGGUGUAUCUUAGGUCUGCUCCUGCUGCUAGGAUCCAGUAACUCUUCCUGUAAGAAUGUGUUGCUUGGAUGUGAAGAGAUGCUAUUGAUCUUACAAUGGAGGUUGCAGAUGAAGGAGAAAAGGUUGGAAUUAAGCCGACAGCACUCAACUGCUGUAAGCCGGACAUUGCAGAAUGGUGGCUUGCAUGAAGCCAGAGGCCAAGCUCUAUGGUCUGGAGCCUCACAGGGAGUCCUCCAAGUGAAGGAUGAGCCCUGAGCUGCAGGAGAGAUCUACUCCCACUAAACCAACCUCCCGAGGGGACUUGCUUUGUUUGACUGGGUCCGUCAUCCUCAGGAGGAAACUUUCCUCUGCAAGAUGGUGAAAUAGUGCCCAUGUGGAAACGUUCUGACUGCAUGCGCCUGGAGUCCGGCAUUGUUGCAGAGGAGGAGAGCGGCAUAGGAUGGCUCCAAAGAAAAGAGGUCUGCAUCAGAAGGAAAACCUCCUGCCAUGCCAGCUUGCCCAGACCUAACGGUGAGACGGCCUUUCCCAGCUACACUAAGGGCUGCUUCUUGUGGACUGGAAGUAUUGCCAAAGAGUGAGUGAUCCUUAUUAAUAUGCAUCUCCAAAAACAACAGGCAGUCUUGCACAGAUCCUCUCACACGUAUCUUUGGAUUUUGAGACAGUGGAGAGCUAUUUAUUCCCUCUCACACCAAUGUCAGCCAUAGCGCAAGAUGUCUUGAGCUGAUUAAAAAUCUCUUUAAUCAAAUGCUGGCAGGGGAAGUGUUCAGAAUGUUAGAAGGAUGACUUUGACAAGCUGCCCCUGCACUGUGAGUGACUUCAUCCAGAGGUUGGCCCGGCAGACUGGCGUGUGAUACAAAGCCUCCACUCACCUUGAUUUCCAAAGCUGCCAACAAACUGCAGUGACGAUGCUGAGAAGCCAGUAGGGCACUGUAGCCUGUGCUCAGUUCUUCUCCGUUAGAUACUGACCCCCCCAAAAAAAACCUUUGCUACAGGCAAAAUCCAUCACUCGAUUCAUCAACCCCUACCUACGCUUCAAAUUCCUAUAUCCCAAAUCCAUGGGAACGAUUUUGAACAUGAAUGUAGGCUGGAAAUCAUUGCUGUGCAGAUUGUCUGGAGGCUUUUUUUCCCCCCCUGUUCUAUGGCUGAACUGGACUUCAAAAGAAUAAAUAAAAUCCAUUCUGGUAGCACCCCCUCCUCCCCCCCCAACCCCCCAGGAGGAGUGUACUUCUAUGGAGAAAGGACAUAAAGAAACCUCCUGAUAUUUUAUUCAACCAGAAUUAAGUGUUUUGAUUUUGGGGAAUUCAGCUAAUUUUCUUACUCCUCAAAAUAGGUCAGCUUUGAAAUAGAAGAUGUCACGCUGAAAGAAAAAAAAGGGGAAUAGAUUUGUUUAGUGAAUGUAAGAUUAUACAUACAUACUUUUGGAAUUUUAACAAGCUUAUGAAUGGAAAGAAAGCAUCCAGGUUGUUUCUCAGUCAGUUAGACUUGGAUUUAGGACCGGUUUUCACUCUCCAUAAACUGCAUUUCUUUUUCACUUAGAAGAUCCCCUCCCUCCACAAAAGCCCCUUCCCCUUUUGCCAUUGCUGGAAAUAAAUAGCCAUAAUAUAGCUGGAAUUAAUACAGCUACACUGAGUCAACUAAGUGCUGAAUUUUUCUUUCCCAAUGCUCUCUGGGCACCCAGACGUGCUCAAUAGGAAGUGUUGGCACUUGGGGCUACGUAUAGAAAACCAGGGUGUGUGCUGCUGGGGCUGUUAGGGAGGAAAUCUUGUGCCAGCAGCCCUCUGCUGUGGGCCUUCUCCAAGCUUUGUCUCUAUUCCCUCAUUCCUCUGCAGAUGUCCUAAGCCACAUUUUGCUUUCAUUAUGACAAAAAUUGUGCAAGAUACUCAUCUUCUUUUAUUUAUAUAUAUAUAUAUAUAUAUAUAUAUAUGUAUAUGUAUUUUGUAGCAUUUCUGUGUUCCUACACCUUCUCUCUUUGCGGCAUUGCUUGUGGACAUGUAAGUAGUAGGUUAGUUUCUAUUCUUACUCUGGGGGGUUGGGUUCCAAACUGUUUAUUGAGUAAUAAAAAGAGAAAAUGGCGAGUCAUUGCCCAGGGAUAAUGUGCUAAUAAUUUUAUGACUGGACAAAUGGUUGCAACAGCCCACAAAUGGCUGUAGGCAGGAAACCUGGUGUCUAUUGCUGACAGAGCCACCCCCAAGGAGAUAAAACCUCACUUUUGGUGAUCAAAGUUGAUGCAACAACUGUGAUCUAUUAAAAAUUACUUUGGAGAUGGGUAAGGCAAUCAUUAUUCCUCUUGGAAGAGAAGUGGCGGACAUAGACUUUUUGGGAAGUGUUUAGAAGUGAGCUCUACAUGGGAUGAAUGCAACAGACCACCGUGGCUGCUUGCGCUCGGAGCCACGCGGCGCGCAGCUGCAGGGCUGCAGGCUGGGGAUGCUUGGAGAAACAAAGAUUAAAGGGGGGUUAGUGCUAUCAGGCAAACACGAAUCAUCCCAGAGAUAACAAAGGGUUGAAGUUUAUUUAGCCACUAACCGUAUGGCACUCAAGUGCGUUAGCCUGGCUUGACUGCUGCAGAGCAUGGAGCCGGAAUGGCUGCUGCAGGGCGUACACCAGGAUACACCCUGUCCCACUCUGGGCUGAUGUCCCCUGUCUGAUUACUCAAGGAGGAUGUCCCCCUCCUGGCGAUGGGGCAGUUGUCCCAUCGGCACCAAUUUCUUCCUGCUGUUGUGGAGUUUGGUGGGGAAGGAUGAGCAGGGCCCUUGUGAGGUCUCUCUCUGCCCGUCUCCCAGCAGGCAGGAGGAGCUGUACCUCUUCCAAACCCGCAGCAGAUCCAGCCCUCGAAGCGGGCAAGAAGCCAUGUGAUGGGGCGUAGCUGCUCGCAGCUGCCAAGACCUCACAUUUGUAUGUUAGUGAUGCAGAUAGGAUCUCAUAAACCCGUCUCCAUACUGCUUUACUGCUGAUUUAACGAUCAGAGGAAGAACUUGACUGUUUAUUAAAACAUUAGACAGUAAAGUUUAACAAUAGACAGUAAAGGGUUUUGUUUUUCCAUCCCUCUGAUUGUUAAAGCAACAACACAUAGGCCUGGAGAGGGGCCUGCUGCUAACCUCAGGAUGAUGGGAUGGGGCCAUGAAGCUCCUCCAGAAGGCAGGAUAGAGCAGCUGGCAUUCUGGCAAAUCCCAUAUCUGAAGAAGGAAAUCUGAUGUAGGGUAUGGGUGCGUGCCCCAUCACCGGAGGCGCUGAGGGCUGGGCUGGAUGGGGCCCUGGGCAGCCUGAGGUGGUGGGGGGCAGCCAGCCCAUGGCAGGGGUAGGGCUGGGUGGGCUGUAAGGUCCCUUCCAACCCAACCAUUCUGUGAUUCUAUGAGUCUGACUGUGAGAAGGGGCAAUCCAAUUGCUCUGUGGGCAAGGGUCUCGUGGUAGGGCUCCUGUUGUUCAGCAGACCCGCAAACACCGGCAAAGGGAGCAGAUGGAAACAAAACUCGCAAGGCAACAGCAUUAUUCAGGACAGUGCCAACGAAAGCUGACUGCGAAGAAACGCCGAAGGAUUGCAGCGUGCAGGUGAUGAAAUGGCAGAGGAAAUUCAUUGUUGGUAACUGCAGAUAGAGAAAAAUCAGCAGUGGCUGUACCCAUACAGCAGCACCAUCUCAAUGAGCUAUUGCCUCUCUGGAAGGAGGCUGUGGAGGCAAGGCAGGCUGUUUCUGGAAACGUCAGCAGUGAUCACAAAGGCAGUGGCCAUUCUAGGAGUUACGGAGGAAGAAAUGGAGAGUAAAACAGGCUGCCAUUGUGCUGCUGGGUGCAUCCACAGUGCAUCCCCAUCCGAGGUGCUGCCCCUGCUUCUGGUGGCCGUGUCUUGGGGCCAAGGGAAGAUGGAAGAGGAGUUACAGGGACUUCAUAGCAGGACCUCGAGAACUUGAGCUGAAGUGGACAGAUCUGGAGGAGAAGAUGAGAGGAAGAAAGCCCUGGGUGGCUUGGAGGAGUUGGACGUGGAGCUGGACAAGCAUCUGCUCUGUGUCUGUGCUGAUGCUAUUUAGAAACCCCAGCCUUGGCUCUGCUUGACAUUUGGUAAUGCUGAACUGGGACAGCACCCAAAAAACCCCAUCCGUGUUGGACCGUCAGUAAGAGGUGGCACAUCUGACCAAAACCACGUCGCCAUUUGCUUCCUUGACAGCACAUCCUACCUCAUCCCCUGUCCUUGUCCUGCUGACCCCCGUUCCCAGCCUCCCUUGCUCAAUUUCAGCAGCAUCUUGGGAGGCCCCUUCAGCUGCAAGCCCCUCGCUUGGGAAAGAAAGCGGGGUUGGAGGGGGGGGAUCAGAGCCCAGCUGUGGGCUGGGGCAGCAGGCGAGUGCUUUCCAAACGCUGACUGCUGUUGGUGUAUUUCUGCUGGUGAGGAUGCAGCUGGCAGCGUUUGUGUGCAUGCGUUUAUAUACACACACACACACACACAUACUCACCUCCACACGAGUACACGACUAAAAUACAUAUAUUUCCUCACCCCGCAUCUUUCUGCAAGCUGCAAAAAUACAAAAGAAUAAAAUUAAGUCUCUUAUCGCUGCUAAGUCAUCAGAAACUAAUAUUGCAUCUACCGGGCAGUUUUCCCCCUCCCUCCCCCAAACCAUCUCCACUUCGCAAUCCUAAUUCAAUGAUUCUUUCUGUAGCUCUUUACAUUCUAUUAUUUAUAAGAAACAAUAUUCAGCCCUCCCCUGACAGUAUUUGCAGGGCUGCGGGAAGCAGUGCGGCAGAAAGGUGGUAGAACAAUUUUGGUUAUGUUUCCAUAGCUACCUAGCUGCUAAAUGUGGUUUAUUCCAUUUUAAAGUCAACCAACACACACCCGCACGCACACGCACAAACCACCAGAUGAAGUGUAUUCAAACUAAUCCCUGGGCCGCCUAUUACAGCCUAAUAUCCCUGCCAUUUGUAUAUUUAAAGGGAUAGUUGCUGCAGAAAUAAAUGGCAGGGCAGCGCUCUCGCUGGCUAGAGCAGGAUGAUCAACAUAUUGUUUCUUUCUUGCUCUCCUCUCCGACGUGUGUGUUCCACUCCAUCCCUGUAAUAUUAUUAUGGAGAUUUUUACCGAGGGCUGAGAGCUGAGGAAGUCGGAGGUAGGAUGGUGUCCUCUCGUGGCAGUCAGCAUCUCUGCAGCCUGAUGGUAGCCGUGCCAAGAGAGAGCCGAGCAUGGGCUCUCCUGGGCAUGCACGGCUGUCUUAGGGACAAAACUCUUGGAGCAGAGCUUCCCACCUCCCCUAGUGCACCCAAAGACGAGGAGCCUCCUGCUUCUGCUCCACGCCAGGCUGGAGGCUGCUGCUUGCUCUCGCUUUCCCUGCGUGAAAGAAGAACCCUUGGGAAAGGAGUGGUGGGUACCAGCUUUGCAGAGCGGAGGAAGUUUGUCCCAUGGAAGUGAGCAUCUCUGAGCUGCCGUGGGUUGGUGGAGAACAUCUCAGAGCUUGUAAUCAGUGCCUCAUAAAUCACCGCUGACUGCCGGGAUCGCUUUGGCCGCUCUUCCCCAUCGUCCUGUCUGCAGGAAUGGGCUGCAUGUUUCCACGUGGAUCGGGUCUGAAUUGGCUGUCUGAACCCAGAGAUUAAAGAAACAGCAGCCUCUCUCUCUCCUGUAACUGGCCCGAGAAUCCAUGAGCAUCCUCAGAAGUCUGAAGAGAAUGGGCAUCCUGUCUAUAUCCAAGGCAGGUAAUCACUGUAAAGGGUGGCUGGAAGGGCAAAAGCUGCAUUUCCCCACGCUGGGGGCUGCGGAGGAGGCAGAGGCAGAUACCUGGGGCUCCCUGGCAGCGCUUGCUGAAGAUCAGCCUUGAUCAGAACAGGUCUUCUCACAGGAAACAUCAACUUUUUGUCAAAAAAGCCUGAAGAUAAAUAUUCUUGGAUGAAAACCUAUAAAAAGCUCAGACUGACAAACUAUUUUUUUUAGGCACUUCUUUUUCUCCCAACAAGAAUAUAUCUGUCAAGAGAAACAGAUGUUCUCUAUGAAGAAUCUUCUUUAAUUACAAGUCUGUCAAAAAGAGAAAUCUUCAAGUGUCUCAAGCCUCAAAUCUGCGAAUGGCUUCAGCCCUGGGCAAGAAAUCACCCCUUUCCUGAGCAGCCCCAGUGCCCUUUCUCAGCUCUUGUCAUGUCAUCCCUGCAGCUGCACCAAUAAACUGGGCAUUUUUGGAGUUUAGUUUUCAGAUGAGCCCGCUUCAAAUCAAUGGAGCUGCUGCUUUUCGUGACUCCUGGGAAUAAGAUGGCGUGGAAACAACCCACGGCCAUGCCCAAAUAAGAAAACUAAAAGAAUUAUUGGUUUUGGUCAACCUGGAACAUGGCUCUUUUUGCCCUGACAUUUUCCUAGAGGAAAGUGAAACUCUUCAUCUACAGAUUCAAAAAGUCCCAAAGGCACUCUGUCAGACAUCUCCCAACGUGCUCUCUCAGUUAUUGCUGGAUGGAUCAGAAGUUCUCCAGGGAGCAGUGAAGAUGUUUUUGCGGGCUACAAAACCUCAAAGGCUGAAAAUACUCAAUUCCAGUGUCUGCUUCUUGCUUCCAGAGGAGAUAUCUGCUCUUUGUCUUCAUCUUCAUCGUCAUCAUCUUUGUCUUUGUCUUCAUCUUUGUCUUUGCUUUGUCUUUGUCCUCCUUCUCCUUCUUUCUCUCUCUCCUCUUCCUCUUCCUUUUCCUCCUUCCUCCAGCUCCUAAAUCCCCACCUUCCCUUGACCCCCCCUCCUUUCCUUCUCCCCAUCAUGCAUUGCAUGCUGAAUGCAGGAGGCUCUCAAAGGCAAGAGUCGGCCUGGGACACUCUUACCCACAAUAGCAGUGGUGAACAGAACCCAGGUUUUCAGCCAGGAAAUUUCACUGGUAAUCUCCUGCGAGGGAGGCGCUCCCAUUUUUCAUGAUGGUUGGCCCUUGCGGGAUAUGGAUGAAAAGAGAAAGCAUUUCAUUUGCUCUUUGAAAACUGGAGCUAUAGAUCAAGGCCCUGCUCAGUCCCCUGAAGACUAGAAAUGGGAUUUUUGCAAGAAUUGAGGCUAUCCUCUCUGAAAACUAAAACAGUUAUCUACACUUUCAUCGAGAGGUCAGCAGUAGAGAUUUUUCUCCAACAGCUGGAUAAAUCCAGGCUGUUAGUGCCUCUCCUUCCCACUGUUCUCUGUUAUUGCUUUUCAUUACGUGAAGGGUGAGGAACAAGCAAAUACCUCUGCUUUCUAGCUUUGCCCUUGCCCGUUUGUACAAAGCAGCCAAACAUUUCCUUCUGACACUCAGGACCCAAGCACCUUUGGUGUCUGAUGUUUCUCCUUGGAUGCCAUGGUCUGGAUGCAGUUGCUCAGGGCUGCUUAAUCCUACCAGAUGGCAUAGAAAUGUUAUUUUUUGGACACAGGCACUCUUCUUGCCGGAUAUGGGUGCCACGGGACCAGGGCAUCCUUUGUCGCCUGGACCCAGUGUGAUCUCCUGUAACACUGGGCAGGAGGGUUUGCAGAAUCACGCUGCAUCCUGCGUCCCUGAGCCUUGCAGCCAUAAAUCCUUUGCCUCUGCCACAACUGUGAUUGAGCCUGCCUGGCUUAAUUUAUUUCUCCAGAGCCCACACAGUUAUGGUAGAGAUGAUUGCCUGCUCAAGGAGCAGCACUUGGGAUGAAAUCUUUUCCUCUUGAGAGUGCUGCUGGAAAAACAAGGCAGUGUCCGUGAGCUGCCAGCAAUCCCCAUGUAGGCAUUGUCUUUGCUUGGCCACUUCUUUGCGGUGCUCUCAUCCUUCCUGACCUCUCCCCUUCUCUCCCUUCCUUUAAGUCCUUUUCUCUCUGUUUCAUUUCUACCUAUGUCUCUUCCUCUUCAGGUUCCUCGCUAGGCACUGGAGCUGAUUGCAGUGGUGAUCCAGCAAAUCACAGUAGUGAUGCUGCUGAUGGAAUAACUCCUUGGGGUUCCACACGGUUGCUGUGCGGGCACUGAGUUUCAAACUGCAGAAAAGGAGCAGGAAAGCCUGAUAUUUGGGUGCAUCAACUGGAGCUUUCAUCCCCACCCCAGGGAGAUGGGUUUUGGAGCCCUAGCAGCCUGCCCACCCUAUGGACAUGGCCAGAUACCCCCAGUUCCUUCCCAAGCACUGCUACCCAGAGAGGUGCUCUGUCCUGGCUAUGGGAGUUGAGCACGAAUAACUCACAAAUAAUGGAAAUCCCCACCAUGUGCCCCCAGCAUUGGCACGGCUCAGAGCCCUGCAAGAAGCGCGCUGCCUUGUUUGUCACCUGAAGCACUUGGAAAAAUUACACAAAUCCAUCAAUGUAAUGAAUCUUCUCAGCAGUGGCGAAUAGACAGAGACAGACAGGCACUCAGCUGAAACAAGUCAUCUUUAAAAAUUAAUACAAAAUAAACAGCUGGCCUUUCGCUCCGCUUCCAGGUGGCGGCUGCGUGGUUUGGGCGAGGGCUGGGCAGGGACCAAUGAUGGUUCCCAAUGGGAUCACGUCCCUGGGGCAGGGAAGUGUCCUCUGCCGUGUCCCUGUCACUGUCACAGUGUCACCUCCAUCUGCUGCUGCUCCAGGAAUGGUGGUGCAGCGCGGCAGUCAGUGUUGCACUGCGUGAGUGACUGCUUAAGAAACAGCCAAAUCUUUGGGAAUGCCAAAGCCUCAUCACCUCCCUACAGCCUUGCCAGGCUUCUGCCAGCCCUCUGGGCUCUCACAUCAGUUUGUCAGUGUCUGAUGGAGCUUGUACACUCCUCAGAGGACAGGCUGAGCUUGCUCUCCUGCUUGUCACGAUGUGGGCUCCAUAAAUAAUUAACAGUGGUGCUGCUUCUGCCCCCGAGCUUUCAUUUCAUUACCCAGGAAUAACAUACCCACCUAUAUACGUGUGUAUGUACAUGUCUGCGUGUAAUACGCAUCCAUAUGUACUUACAUUGCUUAAACAUCUGUUUCACCGGCCAGCCUCUCUGCUUUUCCUUCGGCCAUUGCUCUGUCUCCCUGCUGGUCCCAAGGGCAGGCAAGCAGCAGAAGGCGCUGCUCUCGACCGUGAGCAUCCCACCAGUGCUCCAGCUGCUCCUGCUCUGAGGCCAGGCUAUUUAUGAGGUACCAUGGGGCUGCCCUUGCCCUGCAGAGUGUGGGGAUGGAGAGCGGGGAGGAAGACGGAUGGAUCCUGAAUUGAGGUGAAUUUAUGGGGCUUUGCGAUUCCUGCUGCUGUAUGUCUCCGAGAAAUGACACCGCCACUUCAGGAGCAGAGAUUAAUCUGAGCCGGCAGGAGAAGGACAAAACAAAUCAUCUACUGCAGGAAUCUCAUUUGAUGCCUGUUAGUAAAAGCACUGCGAUGAAUGGCUUUUGUAAAGACCGCGUAGUACAGGCUUUUUUUUUUUCCUCCCUUUUCUCCAUUCGUCUGCAAAUUGAGGUCUGUGAGGUGUGUGGUGGAGGCACCCCAGGGUCACUCAUGGCCAGGCACAGGACAAGGACUCCCAGCAGCUUUGUGCACUGUGAGACAGGAGAGCAAAAAAGGGAAGGCAGAGCUCCCAGCGCGUCGUACCCAAGGAAGGAAUCCUUCGCUUUUGUUUUUAAAAGGGCAUUGAUUCUCACGUCCUGCAGAACACGGGGUCGGGGCAGCCUGCAGCCCCAGACAGAACAUCCCAGUGCUGCUCUGCAUCCCAGCCAGCAGCAGCUGGAUGCGGCCCAGUGGGAGCAGUACCAGCACCGAGCACUCCUCCCGCACGCCGCUGUGCAUCCCAGCUCAAUACAGAAUCAAUUGGAUUGAUCUUUUUUUAAGGUGCAGCCUCCGAACGGCUGAGACUGUGAGAGACGUGGCUAAGCACGCACUUCCACAAAAUAAUUUGUCAGGCCCCGCUGUAGAAACCUAAUGAUGGCUGUAAUUUAUUGCUGACAGACGAUAUUUAUCACCGCAGCAUCCCCUCUUUCUCUUCCUCUGUCUCGUUAGGAAUGGCAUCAAUAAUGUUUAUUGUAGCUUUUAAUUUUUUAUCGCUGGUAUUCUUACCUGUGCUGCUGAGGGCUGCAGGAGAUGGGAAAGGCGUCAGAGCAGAUGGAGGCUCAGCUCUGUGCUGAAGGGUGAGCGAUGAAGGCUGGAAGUUCCUCCUGCGUGCCCAUGCAGGGAGCGUGCAGUGCCAGAGAGCACCCCGAUAGCAGGGAAAAGUGAGCUGUUCCCAUAAAGCUUACUCCCUCUCUUCUGAGCCUUUGGACCUGUGCAAGGGAUGCUCAGACCCAGCAAAGCAGUGGCAUUGCUUUGGUUUUCCCCAGACGCUGCUCCCACGUGGGGCUGGAGAAGGAACAUCACCCCUCCGCUGCUGCACCUGCAUUGCUGCGAUCAUCUCACACCUGAUGAUGCCCACAAGCCCUGUGGUCACAGUUCUUGUCCCUGAAAGCAACCAAAACCCCAACUCCAAUCCUGAAAUCUCCUUUUUUUCCCCUCGUUUUCCUACAGUUUUUCCUACCCUUGAGGAAAUGUGCUGCACCAGGUUGUGAUGCCCUAUAAACCAGCACUUCCCAGAGGGGAUUUCUUCCCCCUUUCCAGACGUGAAUAAUUACCCAGGCAGAGGCUGUUCCAGCCUCGUUACAGGAGCCUCUCAGACUAGCCGGUCAUUUACAGAUUAGAUAGAUGUUGCCCACGUUGUUCAUAACUGAUUAUGGGAUUGGCAGUUUGGCUCUCACCCAAAAUUCAGAGUCCUGAUUUAGCAUAAUUGGAAGUGAAUGGCGGAGCAGGCUGGGGGAUGGGGAUGGUGCCUGCUGCUGAUUUCCUAAUGCCGGCUUUGGGGAUCCCUGACAAGCUGCGGAGUGCUCUUUAUAGGGCAAUAACGUUUAUGGUGUGGGUUGUCUGGGGGAGGAACUCCUGUGAUGGCAGCAGCCACCUCCUGCACGUCCCAGAUCGAAGCUGGAGAAAUCAAGAAUACCAGAAGAGCAACG